UUGCAUGCAGUGGCUUUGUUGCCACAUGUCCACCUCUCCCCAUGAUGAGAUUGUGGGUAUAGAAACUGCAUGCGAGAGUAACAUGGAGUUAACAGGGCCGGCAGUCUCUCAAGAGCAGACUGAGUUGGUAGUAUAGCACUCCUACACUA